rnacentral:rRNA from 1 species
UACAGAGGGUGCAAGCGUUAAUCGGAAUUACUGGGCGUAAAGCGCGCGUAGGUGGUUUGUUAAGUUGGAUGUGAAAUCCCCGGGCUCAACCUGGGAACUGCAUCCAAAACUGGCAAGCUAGAGUAUGGUAGAGGGUGGUGGAAUUUCCUGUGUAGCGGUGAAAUGCGUAGAUAUAGGAAGGAACACCAGUGGCGAAGGCGACCACCUGGACUGAUACUGACACUGAGGAGCGAAAGCGUGGGUAGCAAACAGG